GACGAACGCUGGCGGCGCGCCUAACACAUGCAAGUCGAACGAGCGAGAGAGAGCUUGCUUUCUCGAGCGAGUGGCGAACGGGUGAGUAACGCGUGAGGAACCUGCCUCAAAGAGGGGGACAACAGUUGGAAACGACUGCUAAUACCGCAUAAGCCCACGACCCGGCAUCGGGUUGAGGGAAAAGGAGCAAUCCGCUUUGAGAUGGCCUCGCGUCCGAUUAGCUGGGUGGUGAGGUAACGGCCCACCAAGGCGACGAUCGGUAGCCGGACUGAGAGGUUGAACGGCCACAUUGGGACUGAGACACGGCCCAGACUCCUACGGGAGGCAGCAGCGGGGAAUAUUGCACAAUGGGGGAAACCCUGAUGCAGCGACGCCGCGUGGAGGAAGAAGGUCUUCGGAUUGUAAACUCCUGUUGUUGAGGAAGAUAAUGACGGUACUCAACAAGGAAGUGACGGCUAACUACGUGCCAGCAGCCGCGGUAAAACGUAGGUCACAAGCGUUGUCCGGAAUUACUGGGUGUAAAGGGAGCGCAGGCGGGAAGACAAGUUGGAAGUGAAAUCUAUGGGCUCAACCCAUAAACUGCUUUCAAAGCUGUUUUUCUUGAGUAGUGCAGAGGUAGGCGGAAUUCCCGGUGUAGCGGUGGAAUGCGUAGAUAUCGGGAGGAACACCAGUGGCGAAGGCGGCCUACUGGGCACCAACUGACGCUGAGGCUCGAAAGUGUGGGUAGCAAACAGG
rnacentral:rRNA from 1 species